CUCUUUCGAGUAGUCAACAAGAAUUUUUCGGGACUUUAUCCUCUUGGCAAAUUUCAUGGCUUUCUUAGCCAAAAACUUAACAAUUUCUUCUUCAUCGAUCUUUCUCAUUUUCUUCUUCUUUCUCUUAUCGCUACUGAUGGAAUCAUGGUCGGAAUCUGAUGAUCGUCGGAAAAUCGUCGGCAAAUAACUUAGCAAUUUCUUCUUCAGCGAUCUUUCUCAUUUUUUUCUUCUUUCUCUCAUCGAUGCUUAUGGAAUCAUGAUCGAAAUUCGAUGGGUCGUCGGAAAAUCAUCGGUGAAAAAUAAGUCCUUUGAAGUUUGGGGUUGAGAAACUUAAAAAAUUUGUUACCUUUUUUUAAGUGUAUUUCAAU
rnacentral:lncRNA from 1 species